UACAGAGGGGGCAAGCGUUGUUCGGAAUUACUGGGCGUAAAGGGCGCGUAGGCGGCCUUCUAAGUCGAACGUGAAAUCCCUGGGCUCAACCCAGGAACUGCGUCCGAUACUGGGAGGCUUGAAUCCGGGAGAGGGAUGCGGAAUUCCAGGUGUAGCGGUGAAAUGCGUAGAUAUCUGGAGGAACACCGGUGGCGAAGGCGGCAUCCUGGACCGAGAUUGACGCGUGAGGCGCGAAAGCCAGGGGAGCAAACGGG
rnacentral:rRNA from 1 species